GUUCUUGAUACCCAAACACCCUGAAAAUUUUAUGGUAAGUAUAUUUGAGAGUCUUGAGAAUACCGGUAAAAUUUCAAGUCAUUUGGACUUCGUUUGCUAUUUUUAUAAAAUGUAAAACUAAAACUGCUACGUUCUGCCGAAUUGUUCGGUGAGUAGCCAAUAGAGUCAUCGUUUCCAGUAGCUUUCCUUAGCAUUCUGGAACCCAAAUUUUUAUGGUUGAGACCUGAGUGUCUUAGCUAAGUUACCACAAAAUUUCAGAUCGUUUUGACAACGUUUACUAUUUUUAAAAAAUAAAACUUUUCGAUUGCUAAAAACUGCCGAAUAUGGUAGACUGUAGUAAAACAGUCAUAUCUCCUAAAAUACUUGGAGUUUUUGAUCCUACUUUUUUUAAAUGAAACUAGACUCAAAGAGGUUUCUUUUGGUAUAAGUUACGACCCCAGGAGAGUUCUGUACAGAGUCUGGUGAGGUUUUAAAGUUGAGUCAGUGCAGAGUAAAGCUUGUUUUCGACUUGUCUAUGUGUGUUUUUAAUAUGCUUAAGUGUUUAUACUUGUUUAUGUGCUUGUUUGCUAUGAGUUUGAGUCGAGUUGAGAGUUAAGUCGAAAAUUGGACGUGUGAAUCCUUAGAAGCCGAGUAUACCUAGGGAUUGAGUUAUAACGGGUAAAUAGACGUUGAGUGAGAAGUUAAAGUAAAGAAGAGAUUGGAUUUGGAAAUUGAGUUCUGACUAAGGUUUGUUUUAUCACAUGAACCUUCGAUGACGAUGACGAUGUGAUGAUGACAUAUGAAGGCCCGAGCGAGACGAAGAAGUAAGUUGCCUGAUUUCUUUCCAGAAUAAGCGAAGGACUUCAGGCUAAGCGAGGAGCGAGAUUGGUCUGGUGCUAGUGGGGGAAACGUUUCAAUCGAUGUAAUUAUGUUUUCGUAUUGCCUUCAUGUUAAUAGAGUCUUGAGGAUUGAGAUACUUUGUUUUCUUUUGAAAUCAAGCAAUUUACUCACGGUUAUGUGUCUUCAUACAUGUAAUCGAUUCGCCUUUUGCUGCGAUA